GGAUAAAUUCGCGAUUAUAUUUAUAACUUCACACAUAUAAAUUAAUUAUAUGUCUUAAAUUGUUAAAGCAUUAAACGUAGAAAAAGAAAAAAAAAAGAGAGUGAAAUUUUCUUUUUAGCUUUUUGUCUUGAGUUUUUUUUUUUAUUGAUUCAAUGUUAAUUGAAAAUGUAAUCUAAAUAUACUACACUUAACAAAAUGUAACAAUUAAUUGCGAAACGUUUAAUGCAUCAUUAAUAGCGCGCGUCAAAUUAAAGGCAUUUGAUAGGAAAAAAAAGAAAAAAAAAAAAAAACAAAAAAAAACUGUGAAAAGCCUACAUGACGUUAAAGUAAAGCUACAGAUUCCUAAUUCCUAAUUAAAAAGCGAAUUUGAUCUAUAUGCUUUUGUGUUUGUGUGUGUGCGUGUGUUUGUGUUAAAGGGAAAUCCAUUUACAAAUUAUAGAGCACACAGUCGAAAAACAAGAUAUUGAGGUUUCAGGUUAAUUUCCAUCGUCCUUUUUGGCUUAAGUUGUAUUCGCAAUUAACCAAAUUUCAGCCACAAUCCUAGAAGGGAGAAGCUUUCUUAGUUUUUCUUACAUUGUCGGUCAUUGCUUUGAGAUGCUUAGCUCGUCUUCAACACCAACCUGCACGCAAGAAUCUCCAAUGUUGCCGUCCAAUUGAAAGAAAUUUUUAACUGUGUUACUGUGGUCACGGUUCUGCACAGCUCUUCAACGUAUCUCUGUCCAAAAUUUUGAGUUGAUUGAGUCCUUCCUAUCUAAGAUUCGGGAUCUUUUUCUCACUGUGAGUCUAUGAGGCUCAUCGCGGUAAGAUUCAUUAGAAAAAGGAAGCGGGUUAAGAUAAACUGACAAGUGCUAAAGUUAGUGUUAAUGUUAAAGUUAGAGUUAGUGUUAAAAAAGUUCUUUUCGAAAGUCAAUGUAAAAUAAUUAAAAUAUUUAAAUUCGAAUGAAUCUUAAAAGCUUACCGCGGCCAGAUUAGGGUUAAUUAUUGCAGCAUUUACGACAUUUGAUAUAGAAUUUUUUUAUGAAACUUCCUAUAAAUUUAUGUUAUGUUAUAUAAUAGGAUACCAUGUAAGCCUAAUCCUCAUGUGAGUGUAAACAUUAAUCAUCAUUCUUGUCGAGAAGUAAUUAACAAAACUUUCA